rnacentral:rRNA from 1 species
CGUAGGUGGCGAGCGUUAUCCGGAUUUAUUGGGUUUAAAGGGUGCGUAGGCGGCUGAUUAAGUCAGCGGUGAAAGGUAGCAGCUUAACUGUUUUACAUGCCGUUGAUACUGGUUAGCUUGAGUUGACAGAAGGCAGAUAGAAUUUCUGGUGUAGCGGUGAAAUGCUUAGAUACCAGGAGGAAUACCGAUUGCGAAGGCAGUCUGCUGCAGUCACACUGACGCUGAGGCACGAAAGUGCGGGGAUCAAACAGGAUUAGAUACCCUGGUAGUCCGCACAGUAAACGAUGAUUACUAGUUGUUGGCGAAUAGUCAGUGACCAAGGGAAACCGAUAAGUAAUCCACCUGGGGAGUACGCCGGCAACGGUG